rnacentral:lncRNA from 1 species
CACUCACUAAGCCUUCAUGUGCCAAGGAAUAUUCAAAGGAACUGAGACGCCCAUUCAUUCAAUAGAGAUCAGAGAAGACAUGACAACAAAGAAGAGACACAACUGACUGAAAUUCUUCAAGACCCAGGAUGCACCUGAGUCCAUUCCAGGCCCCACACCUGUGGAAUGGGGCUUAUGCCACGGCUCUGCGAGGCAGUCCCAUGAAAAGAUGAGCUGGAACUGUCAGAGAUGGUGGACCAGGGAGCAAACAACUCAGCAAUGAAAUCCCAUGAUUCCCCAGAGCUUGGGUUUGCUGCAACCCACACAUGGAGGGCUAAAUUAAGCUGUUUGCACCUUGGCUGACAUCUUCUAAAUGGUUCUGUGGAUAAUGGUGUUUAUCCCCUGUAGAGACGGGGCGACACAGAGGGAAGAACUCAAAGGUAGGAUUCCUUGAGUAAACAAAGCUCACCGGUGAACUAACCAUCCCCGUUUAAAUAUUUAAAUUCUAGCUUCAGUGGAGA